GUUUCCCAGUCACGAUAGUCGGGGGCAACUCCAUAUAGUGGCGCAAGGGUUAGUAAUACAUGGAUAACCUACCUCUGACAUAGGAAUAACGCCUGGAAACGGGCGCUAAUACCGAAUGAGGCGGAGCAAGGCAUCUUGCUCCUGUCAAAGCGGGGGAUCGAAAGACCUCGUGGUUAGGGAGGGGUUCAUGAGAUAUCAGCUAGUUGGUAGGGUAAUGGCCUACCAAGGCUAAGACGUCUAGGCGGAUUGAGAGAUUGACCGCCAACAUUGGGACUGAGACACUGCCCAGACUCCUACGGGAGGCUGCAGUCGAGAAUCUUUCGCAAUGGGCGCAAGCCUGACGAAGCGACGCCGUGUGAGCGAAGAAGGCCUUCGGGUUGUAAAGCUCUUUCGCUAGGGAACAAGAGAGGCGCGUGAAUAACGCGUUGAUUUGAUGGUACUUGGUAAAGAAGCACCGGCUAACUCCGUGCCAGCAGCUGCGGUAAUACGGAGGGUGCAAGCAUUAAUCGGAAUUACUGGGCGUAAAGGGCGCGUAGGCGGCUAGGAAAGUCAGAUGUGAAAUUCCGGGGCUCAACCCCGGAGCUGCAUUUGAAACUUCCUGACUAGAGGUCAGUUAGGGAAAACGGAAUUCCACGUGUAGCGGUGAAAUGCGUAGAUAUGUGGAAGAACACCGGUGGUGAAGACGGUUUUCUGGGCUGAUACUGACGCUGAGGCGCGAAAGCAAGGGGAGCAAACAGGAUUAGAUACCCUGGUAGUCCUUGCCGUAAACGAUGCAUACUAGGUGUAGGAGGGCUCAACCCUUUCUGUACCGGAGCUAACGCAUUAAGUAUGCCGCCUGGGGAGUACGCUCGUAAGGGUGAAACUCAAAAGAAUUGACGGGGACCUAUCGUGACUGGAAA
rnacentral:rRNA from 1 species